AUUAAAAUAUCCUUGAUGUUAUUUGAUGUUAUUAUAGAUAGAAGACGAACUUGAGUUUUCCACUGACGUUUGCUAAAGGUUAUUUGUGCUUUUGACAACUUUCUCCUAAAAUCAUUUCCUAUGAGUGUCCUCCAAAUCAAUGAUAAUUUGAAAGGUUUCUAUAUAUUUCUUAAAUAUUUUUUGAAAUUAAUGAAUUAUAUUAACAUGUCGUAUAGAUAAUACCGAAGAAUCGUUUGAA